AGAGAUCUGAAGAUUGAAAAUUUCCUUCUAGAUGAAAACAACAGCAUCAAAAUUGUUGAUUUUGGACUGAGCAACAUCAUGAAGUUUGAGGGCCUGUCUCAGGAACUGUUAAACACGCAGUGUGGGAGUCCAGCCUAUGCAGCCCCAGAACUCCUGGCUCACAAGAAAUAUGGGCCAAAAGUGGAUGUCUGGUCUAUAGGAAUCAGCAUGUUCGCCAUGUUGACUGGCACAUUACCAUUCACUGUGGAGCCAUUUAAUA